GUUGCUUUCAUUCCCGGCUUAGGGGUUAGGAGGAUGUGCCUUUAGAACGGAGGCAUCCCAUGUGUCGGUUUGCCAGGUUCGGGGCCUCGGCAAAGGAAUAGAGUUGCUCCGAACCAGAGUCAGUGAAGCAGAGCGCGAGUCUGCAGGGUUGCUCCGCACGGUACGGAAGCCAAGAGCGGUGAGGAGCGGAACAGUAGACGUAGACCUGGAGCCAGCUGCAGUGAGUUGCUCCGAUCGGAUUAUGUCAAUGGAGUUAGGCGACGGAGCUGCUCCACGCACAAGUCGCAGAAGUGCUCCGGGAGAACCCGUGUGACGCUGCUGUAUAGGAGCAGUUUGGAUCUUGACCCGGUCUCCAAGCUUUCCAAAUCUAAGGACGCUAUAUAGAUCUCCAAGGGAGGUCACCCGUGGUGCGACCCAGCCUGCAUCGUCGACGCCGUGGACAAAGGAGCCUUUCCAGUUUGCCAGUAAACAACAAUGCCUGACCUCCAAACGGUGCAGCGUCACUGGAGUAGUGUAGCGUCACUUCAGGUCGAGUAGCGUCCCCCUUAUUAUAAUAUUCCGAUGAUCAUAAUAAACACGCCAGUUCAAAUUCCAGCAUCGGACUGAACAGACCUUGUCCCUGAACAGUAACGGUUGGGCGAAAUUUUUUUUCUGUCUGUAUCUUCGGUACAAUUUGCCUGUACAACCACAUAAUGCCACCAAGAGGUGCGAAGCGGUCCGCGGCCAAGAAGCCGGCUGCUAAGAAGUCUACAACAAAAGCCGGUGGCGUGAAAAAGGCCAAAAAAACCAAGAAGGCGACGGUGGGAAAGAAGAAGGCCGCCAAGUCAGCUGCCAAACCGAAGACCAGCAAGAAAAAGUAGGCUCGUUCCCACAAUCGAACUGCCGGCCGAAUCAGGAACAGCUAGUAUUCGGGUGGAGUGAACCCGAAUCCUGGGCGUGCUUAUCAUGUGUGCUUUGUACUGUUUAUCGUGGGAUGUCAGCAGUUACUCCGAUGUCAACCCCAUUCCCUCAGUGUGCCUGGUCUUCCAAACAUGGCCUUUACCAGCCGUCCUGCACCCGCUCCCCAAACACUCCCUCCCGCUCUACUAUCAUCAAGUGAUCGACGAUCUUGCAGUGACGGUACAACCCAUUCACCGCCAGACGACUGACCGUGAGACUUCCCGAGCUUCAUAGAGCGAGUUGCUCACUGUAUCAGGGCUGGCUUUCGACGUCAUCGUCGCUGAGGAACUGAUUCCAAGAAAUUCUUUUCUAACCUAUAACCACAUCACGCCGGUACAUCUUACAAUCUUAGGUCAGCUUUGACUUGGAGAACAAUGAUCGUAAAGUGGAAGAACGGAUUCUUCACUCACAGCAAGGACUUCGCACAUCAUUUUCAAACACAAUUCUUGCCAGCAGAAACGGACUAGACGUUCACAGAAUCCUUGGAUGACGGACUUGAUCAGAAAUCCCUCCCCAUCACUCGCAGUAGGACUCAUCCGUGGUGAGACUGUAACAAUGGACUUAGAAAAACUAAGUUCCAAACUUAUCGUUGGUUUUAACUGUGUGAGUGAUUAUUUAACACGCAAUUUCACCAAGCACAUUUUGGCAUUGGAAAUGAAGUAUUAUAAAUUAUUGUUUUGUGUGCCCCAUAAAGCAGCCUGCACAGCCACAGUAACUGUGUUUUGUUUACAACGACCGACAUUGCUCUGAUCUGACCUUGAACCACUCGCACGGUAAAUCGGUAAAUUAAAAUUGAAUGGAUGUUGAAAAUGCAGGCUUACGAGAAAACUGGUGUUAGAUUGUAAAGGUUCAUCGCCAACAAUGAUAAGAAAUUGUUUUCAAUUAUCUGAAUUCGAUGUACCAGAUGUUUUGUUGGUGUGUGUACCUGAUCUGGCAGUUGUUCAAGGGAAACACACAUAUUUGAAAUCGAUUUUGCACAUGCUUUCUAGGCAUCAUUUGAAUUACCAGUUUUAUUCGAUUCACAAUGCAGUGCACACGAUUCAUGCCCAGAAUUUGGUGUGUUUUUAUCUUUUUUUGUAUAAACGUUUGCUGUAUACUUGUGUUAAACGUGUUCAAUUUUCGUUUCAAGUCUUGACUCUGUCUUUAAAUCAGGGAAAUAGAGUAUAUAUUUUAGAGUUGGAAAUUAUCUAGUUUGUGGAACUGCAAAACAAAACAACUGUUUGACGUGAAAGAACAUUAUUGGUGAUGCAGUGCUCAUGGAUAAACAAUAGACUUUUUUUAGUUCUUAGUUGUUCUAAUGACAUCUUUCUUUGUGGAGUACGCUCCUCUAAUUUAUGUACUUAGUCAUUUAUUAAAUAGAAAGAAGAGACUGAAAUGUUAUAAACUGUGAAAUUUAAUUAUUCCAAUAUUGUAGCCGUGCACUUAAAAAGUCCUGCAUAUCAUUUGAAUGUUAUCGAAAUACAUGUACAGUAUAUGUACUACCACACUGUAUAAACGUGUGUUAAAACGCCUUUGAUACACGUAACACUUGAUGAACGUGUCGUGGUGUUAAUAAUCCGCAAAAGCUAUACACGUUGCAGUGUUUAUUUUCAAUACAUGUCGAUGUGUUGGGUGUUAAAACGACACAAAACACGUGUAUCGGGCAGUAACUUUUUCUGAACACCAAACCACGUUUAGUUCUUUAAAAAUUGUUUAAUUUUAAACGGUUACAUGUUUACAAUUAUAGCAAAGAAGCGCUUAUAAUAAGUUGAUUUUUACAGUGUAAAUAGACUGCAAAGCAUGUUGGAUGUUCGACCAUUAACUGUGAAAUUCUCCUGACUAUAGCUUCCCUCAAGGACAAGAAACUUUGAGUUCGUAAUUGGUAACAAUUUAUUUCAGAAACUCCUUGAAAUGGUUGAUGAUACGUACCGGUUAAGUAUGGUGCACUUGCUCGGUCAGUGACUUACUGUUAAAAAAAUGUUGGUCAAAUAGUGUUAGGCAUUUGUUAUUUGCCCAACCUUGGUUAAAGUUACCGCAUUGUUGAUUAAUUUCCAUCACUGUUCGCCAAGCAUUGACCAACGAUUGGAAAGAAUUUGUCCAAGGUUUGGGAAUUGAUAUUCACAGCAACAUUCGGCUAAAUAUCAACCCAAAAUUGACCAACAUUUUUACAGUGAUUUUGCCCCUGCACGUGCAAAUACUUGUGCGUGCCUAUUCCCCACAACGUUGCAAAAUUUACCUAUAGGAACUGAACAGCAAGUAUUUUGGGACCGCUUUGGAAAUACGCUUUAAUUUAUCAUAAACUUGAAACUUAGUGAAUUUCUUGUAGUUCAAUAAAAUUAAAGUAUCUGGAAACAAAA
rnacentral:lncRNA from 1 species